UACGAGUGCCCCGAGCGUUAUCCGGAAUUAUUGGGCGUAAAGCGCACGUAGGCGGUUCGUUAAGUCGGAUGUGAAAGCCCUCGGCUCAACUGAGGAAGUGCACCCGAAACUGGCGAGCUUGAGUACGAAAGAGGAUCGCGGAAUUCCCGGUGUAGAGGUGAAAUUCGUAGAUAUCGGGAGGAACACCGGCGGCGAAGGCGGCGAUCUGGGUCGAUACUGACGCUGAGGUGCGAAAGCGUGGGGAGCAAACAGG
rnacentral:rRNA from 1 species